CCCCGCACUGGCCACGCCAUCUUUCUGCGGGGCUUCCGCCCCCAAAUUCGCAAUCUCCCUACGUCUUGGUCUUUUUGUGACAUUGCAAACACGAGAAAGGAGUAGAUGCUGGAAAUCCAAAGCAACGCGCACAGAAACACAAAAUGCUGGAGGAACUCAACAUCUAUGGAAAAGAAACGAGAAAACCUGCAUGAGAACGGGAAACGAUUUUCACUCCCCCACGGCCGACAGUAGGUCUCAGCGAUGGAGAGGUGGCUGCGUCAGGAGCACUGAACACAUUCGACGACUCCAGCAGAUUCGCAGAGGGGAAUGGCCAGACUGGUUCAAGCUGACAGGAAGGCGACAGUAACUCAAAUAACCACCCGUUGCAACAGUGGUAUGCGGAAGAGCAUCUCUGAACACACAACAUGUCGAACUUUGAAGUGGACGGGCUACAGCAGGAGAUCAUGAACUGCAGUCAGUGGCCACUCUUUUAGAUACAGGAGGCACCAGAUGUAGUGGCCAUUGAGUGUACAAGACAUUCGAUAAGCUACAGUCAAAGCUAAAGUGAAAUGACACAGGCAGAUUCAGAAUGCAAAAGCUUUAUUGC